rnacentral:rRNA from 1 species
GACCUGGCUGGGUGGUCUUGCCGAAAGGUAAGUACUGCACCGGUUGGGUCUUUCCUUCUGGGGAACCAGUGUGCUCUUAACUGGGUGCAUUGGGGAUCCAGGAUUUUUACUUUGAAAAAAUUAGAGUGUUCAAAGCAGGCUUACGCCCGAAUACAUUAGCAUGGAAUAAUAAAAUAGGAC